rnacentral:rRNA from 1 species
GCCAUUAGGUUGAGGGCACGCCUGCCUGGGCGUCUCAC